UUCAGAAAUACUCCUAUGUGGUAACUUAUUCAAUAAUCUCAGUUCCCACAAGUGAGUGGAAAGGUGAGAGCUUGUAGUUUGCAAGUCAAUUUGUUGAUGUUUUUCACCUCUUCAGAAGUGGCUGAUCCUUGUAGAUACAGCUUUUCCAACAGCCUUCUCAGGUCCCCUUGACAUUUAGCUCUAGGAUCUAUAAUUUUAUAGCCAAAAGCCAACCUUGGCAAUGAAUCAGGUUUAAAAUCCAGCAAUCUUGAAAACAAUUCCAAAUGACAGCUUCAUCAGAAAGAAAAGAUCGAGAUAUGGUUUUGCUACAGCCAUUGGGAACAAGAGACAUGCAAGUUCUUUAGCCCAGAAGAGAGAUAAAGCAACAUAUUUGCCAUGGACUCUUUUAGUUUCCCUUAAGAAAGAAUAACUACUCUAAGCUACCCCUUUCUGGGAAUGUAAAGAAGCAGUAUCAGAAAUAGUUAAGACAAUGUCACAUCCUCAAACAAAGGAGACUGGAAAUCUUUCUUUUCCCG
rnacentral:lncRNA from 10 species